rnacentral:rRNA from 1 species
GCGAACGUUAGCGGGCGGGCCUAACACAUGCAAGUCGAGCGAGGAAGAAAGGGGCUUCGGCCCUGAGUAAAGCGGGCGGAACGGGUGAGUAACACGUAGGUAAUCUUCCCUUGAGCGGGGGACAACGAGCCGAAAGGCUCGCUAAUACCGCAUACGUUUUCCAGAGUCUCUGGACUUUGGAAGGAAAAGCUAGGCAGGCAAUGUCCCGGCACUCGAGGAGGAGGCCUGCGUCGCAUCAGCUAGUUGGUGGGGGGUAACGGCCUACCAGGGGCGAAGACGCCGUAGCUGGUCUGAGAGGAUGAUCAGCCACACUGGGACUGAGAACACGGCCCAGACUCCUACGGGAGGCAGCAGUGGGGAAUAUUGGACAAUGGGCGCAAGCCUGAUCCAGCCACGCCCGCGUGAGUGAUGAAGGCCUUCGGGGUCGUAAAGCUCUGUGGGGAGGGACGAACCGCUGCUGGUUCAUAGCCAGCAGCAUGACGGUACCUCCCUUAGCAAGCACCGGCUAACUUCGUGCCAGCAGCCGCCGGGUAAUACGAAGGGGUUGCAAACGUUUGCUCGGAAAUUAUUGGGCGUAAAAGCGCACGUAGGCGGCAUUGCAAGUCGGAUGUGAAAUCCCUCGGCUUAACCAAGGAAGUGCAUCCGAAAACUGCAGUGCUUGAGUACUUAAGAGGAUCGCGGAAUUCCCGGUGUAGAGGUGAAUGAAAUUCGUAGAUAUCGGGAAGGGAACACCAGUGGCGAAGGCGGCGAUCUGGGAAGAGAUACUGACGCUGAGGUGCGAAAAAGCGUGGGGGAGGCAAACAGGAUUAGAUACCCUGGUAGUCCACGCCGGUAAAACGAUGAGUGCUAGAUGCUGUGGGUAUUGACCCCCCGCGGUUUGUCGCAAGCCAACGCGGUUUAAAGCACUCCGCCUGGGGAAGUACGGCCGCAAGGCUAAAACUCAAAGGAAUUGACGGGGGGCCCGCACAAGCGGUGGAGCAUGUGGUUCAAUUCGACGCAACGCGCAGAACCUUACCUGGGUUAAAUCCACUGGAAGCUUGCAGAGAUGCAGGGGGUGCCCUUCGGGGGAACCAGUGAGACGGUGCUGCAUGGCUGUCGUCAGCUCGUUGUCGUGAGAUGUUGGGUUAAGUCCCGCAACGAGCGCAACCUCUGUCGUUAGUUGCCAGGCCCUUAAAGUGGGGCACUCUAACGAGACUGCCGACGUCAAGUCGGAGGAAGGUGGGAGAUGAACGUCAAGUCCUCAUGGCCCUUAUUGCCCAGGGCUACACACGUGCUACAAUGGAUGGUACAAAGGGUUUGCAAAAUCGCAAGGUAGAGCCAAUCCCAAAAAAACCAUCCUCAGUUCGGAUUGUAGUCUGCAACUCGACUACAUGAAGCUGGAAAUCGCUAGUAAUCGCCCGAUCAGGCACGCGGCGGGUGAAUACGUUUCCCGGGCCUUGUACACACCGCCCGUCACACCAUGGGAGUCAGUUGCUCUAGAAGUCGGUGCGCCAACCUCGUGAGGCAGCCGCCUAAAGAGUGACUGGUGACUGGGGUG